AAGACAGAUUACAGCUCUGUGUCCCACCAAACGGAGAGGUGUGCUGCUGCUUGCAUUAAAAGAUAGGGCUCACACAGGCAGAUGUCAGAAGUGAUGGACCUUGCUUCAGCUGGGCGUUCACACUGCUGUGAAAAAUCAUGAGAUUAGCACAGCUACUGAGCUAGAAAGGUGAUUACAUCUUUGCUCACGGAUGCCAUUUCCUGUUCGAGAUUCCUGGCUGAUUUGGUGGCAGCCCUGACAUUCGUGGUGGGCGGACGUAAGGAAGACGCUGUUCCCAUCCUAACAAGCUGUGAUUACUGCCUAUCAUGACAGCCCUAUUCAGUACACCUAUUGUCAAGCCAGCUCAUGUUCCUGCUCUGAAUUGCCCUCUGAAGAGGUCUCUUUUCUUUUUCUCUCCGCUUGCCAUCCUUGUGACCUAAGCAUACAAACUGAAGUCCUGGAGAAGACAGCAGAAAUGUUCCUGGAAAAGGUUUUGUGUCUGCCUGCAGGUCUUGGAGGCAUUUGCUCGUUCCAAGUCCUUACAAGCCGUUACAUGAGGGCUGCAAGCUGCAGGCUGCCUUCCUUCCUCUCUUGCUAAAGGCACCACUGUUAUUUCAGGUAAAGCUUUCCUUCCAUACUCUCUUGCUUUAUUCCAUGUCAGCAGCUGGGUUAAUUUUGAAGGGUUUGAUCUGCAGAGGGGUGAAAGCACACAGCCACACAGCCAGGGAGAUUUCUGAGCGUGGCAAGACAAAGCGAUCUCUUCUUUCUGUAUGCCUUCCUUGGAUUUAUUGUCUGCAUCAGCCAGGCUCCUGGUUCCAGCUGCAAGUUUUUAUUAUUCUGAGAAUAAUCGUUUGGCUAACAGAGACCUCUCCCUGCAGACAGAGGGAAGGAAUAACCCAAAUUGAUACUGCAGGUGGAAGUUUGCUUGAAACUGCUCACAAGACCAAAGAGAAUGCAAAGGGGUUUUAACAGAAGCAUCGACCUUUUUUCCCCUGGUUGGCCUUUCUCUCUCUCUCCCCUCCCUCCACCACCUUGAAAAAAAAGGAAAUGUAAGUGCAGAACUACACAACUGGAGUAAAAGCAGCAUAAAGACAGACCAUCAGGUUUCCUAAAGUGCAGAUUCAAACCCAGUGGCUUAUAGCAUAUUUGGGUCAGAUCCUUUGGGAGAAAUGGAGAAGACACACGAAGGAGGCACCUACAGCAUCCACUUACCCAUCCACUCAUGGGUUGUUGUGUGUCCUGAAAUGGCUGAUUGGCUCCUCACUUACUGAGCUGAAGCAUCAGAAAAGGGGGCCUGAAAAUGGCCCUUUUUCCCCAAUUUCUCACCCAUCAGAUGGGAGUCAUCACCAAUACAGCAGUGGGCACAGGAGAUAGGAAAGGCACCAGUUACUCUGGCGGUCAAGCAAUAUGGGAAAUGAGAACUGUCCUGCAUAUGGAACACUACUUGGUCUUGUUUUUGUUUCUCUAAAUACUUGGUUUUACUGACCAGAUUAAUUCCCUUCUCUGUGCGAGGUUAGCAUUAAUCCAGAGCAGCAGUGCUUCCCUCCACAGUGCACAGCCAGGCUUCUGCCAUUGUCCUGGGGAGCAGAAUACAUGUCCAGAAGGGACAAUGCCUGUCAGCCGCAGCAGCAGGCUGCUCUGCUGGCAAAACCACCCAAAACUUCACUUUUCCAGGAACAGACUAUGGUGUUGAGGUUCCCAGUGCUCAGUCCUGGUUAUUGUUGCUAAUAUGAAAUCUACACUUAACCCACAGGCCCCAGCUGCUCUCCACAAGGCAUCCAGAUGUAUUCCUAAGCUCCAUACACUUCACUUUUCCAAAGUCGCAACUGCAUGACUCAGUGCUGCGCAGCAGUUUUCAUUUCCAAAGUUUUUUGCAAACAUGAGCUGAGUAAGCCUUGCCAGACCCCAUUCUUUGCCAAUUGGAUUGAAGGGGCCUCUGAGGAGAACGGCUGCAGCUCAGCCCAGAGGUGCAAUUUCAUUUUCAAUUGUAUAAGCAUUUGGGGGGAGGUUGAGAGAUGAAGACAGUUGUUGUUCAGUUGCUGCUGAGAUUUUAUACUUAUUUAAUUGCCAUGUCUACUUAUUCAGGAAUGCAACAGGAUCCUAGGUGCUGGUAACAAGCUCCCCUCAGAGCAUGGGACCUCUGGGCCUUAGGGAAGACAAUAAAGGUGCUAUUUAAUGUCUCUUCAGUGUUAAAAUCUGUGACUACAAGAAAGAUGAUACCCUGUUUCUAAAACUGUACUCCCUCAUUCCACCUCUACCCCUAAGGCUGGAGGGAAUUAUAGCAGAGGCUGCAGUUUGCACAGAUCGAAAAUCUUGGCUGCAAUAAAUUUUUAAAAAAAUCAUGUUCUGGUCUCUGAGUCUCUUUGUGCCAUAGGCUUCUACUCUCAUAUUACACCACCUGGAGCCCCUCUUCAUGCUGCACUGGUGGUGGCACCACAUAGACAGAGGGGUG